AUUGAACGCUGGCGGCAGGCUUAACACAUGCAAGUCGAGCGGAGAUGAGGUGCUUGCACCUUAUCUUAGCGGCGGACGGGUGAGUAAUGCUUAGGAAUCUGCCUAUUAGUGGGGGACAACAUUCCGAAAGGAAUGCUAAUACCGCAUACGUCCUACGGGAGAAUGCAGGGGAUCUUCGGACCUUGCGCUAAUAGAUGAGCCUAAGUCGGAUUAGCUAGUUGGUGGGGUAAAGGCCUACCAAGGCGACGAUCUGUAGCGGGUCUGAGAGGAUGAUCCGCCACACUGGGACUGAGACACGGCCCAGACUCCUACGGGAGGCAACAGUGGGGAAUAUUGGACAAUGGGGGGAACCCUGAUCCAGCCAUGCCGCGUGUGUGAAGAAGGCCUUAUGGUUGUAAAGCACUUUAAGCGAGGAGGAGGCUACUGAGACUAAUACUCUUGGAUAGUGGACGUUACUCGCAGAAUAAGCACCGGCUAACUCUGUGCCAGCAGCCGCAGUAAGAC
rnacentral:rRNA from 1 species